GUAGUGUACUUCGGAAUUUUAUAUUUACACAAUGUUAUGUUAUUUUUGGUGCCAAUAUUUUAAACUGACAUUAAAUAUCAAUAAAAAUCAUUACUUAGUCUUCCCUUGUGAAAAUGGCUUGAAGAAAAUAAUUUUCUUUUGGUAAACAAGUGUUACCAUUGUUUUUUUGUCCAAUAUGUAGAUUAUCGUAUUCAUUUAGCUUGUAGUGCAUGUCCAUUGUUGGCCAUCAUUGUCCAAUAACUUGUUAGGUUGCUGUUCAUAUAAAGGUUUGUAACAUCAUGACACACAAUGUUCCGGAC